rnacentral:misc_RNA from 1 species
UCUUCCGUUCUUUUUAACCAACAAAAAGUUUCAUAAGCAGAAUCUCCAGAUAUUAUACAACUAAUUUCCAUUUUGCUUUUUUGCUCAUUGAUUCCUUCUUCUUUCACUAUAUACAUACAUUUAAUUUCAACAAUAACAAUGGCAGAAGCUACUGCAGUUGCAGCUCAACCUCAACCAGAAUCAACAACUCCUCCUCCCAUGGCCAAAUCUGAUGACUCUAAAGCUAUUGCUACUCUUCCCCCAACAAAGCCUGACUCUUCAACAAAGAAAAGUUCAAAGGGAUCCUUCGACAGAGAUGUUGCUCUCGCACACCUUGAAGAAGAGAAAAGGAAUUCCUAUAU